CUUGUACUCCCUCCGUCCGAAAAUACUUGUCAUUGAAAUGGAUGUAUCUAGAUGUAUUUUAGUUCUAGACACAUCCAUUUUGAUAACAAGUAAUUCCGGACGGAAGGAGUACUUG
rnacentral:pre_miRNA from 1 species